AUAUUUGCCUGUCAGGGGAGAUGCCAUGAUCAUGAAGGUGGUUUCCCAGGGUGAGGCUUACCCAUUGCACUCCAGAUGUGCUGGCCCCUGCGAUUUCCCCAAAUGUGAGAAACUCAACUGCAUCAUUUGUGGUAGUGGGGGGCUGCGUUCGCGCUAGA